CCAUCACAUACUACAACUUCAAGGUCAGGGAUCUUUGAAGAGCAUGAUUCUAUAAUAACGCCAUUUAGAUACAUCUAAUACCAUGCCUGACUUAUCACAAUACAUAUCUCUUAGUCAACAUAAGCAUACAGAGUCAUUCUUCACCUGACAAAGCUACAAACAUAGCAUUAGUCCACAAUUUCUGGCAAAGUUUAUGGCCAC
rnacentral:lncRNA from 1 species